rnacentral:rRNA from 1 species
UACGGAGGGGGCUAGCGUUGUUCGGAAUUACUGGGCGUAAAGCGCACGUAGGCGGCUUUGUAAGUUAGAGGUGAAAGCCCGGAGCCCAACUCCGGAAAUGCCAUUGAAACUGUAAGACUUGAGGAUGAGAGAGGUGAGUGGAAUUCCCAGUGUAGAGGUGAAAUUCGUAGAUAUUGGGAAGAACACCGGUGGCGAAGGCGGCUCACUGGCUCAUAUCUGACGCUCAGGCGCGACAGCGUGGGGAUCAAACAGG